rnacentral:misc_RNA from 1 species
GCUUUAUUCUAUAUUCAAUUCAUUCGUCGGGCUUCUCUUCCGACAACAGCUCUUAGUCCGCUCCUUCUAUAUCGAUAUCAUGUCCGAUCUCUCUUUCACUCUUUUCUUUCAAUGACAGCUAUCUUGCUAAACAGUUACUCUUUUCCUUAGGUCGAUCAGCUUACCCUCCAAGCUUGUAUUCUCUGCUUUUGAUUCCAUUCCUUACCCCACCAGCAGUUGAUGAAAUAGCACUGGAUGAAAUAGCUGCAGAUUCAAUUCAUCUGCACCUUCCACCAGCAUUGGAUUCAUUCCUAGGAUAUUCUAUUCCCAGUUAUUCCGACAACAGCUUCUCUAACAACCGAUUUUCAAAGAACCGAUUCUUUAGCGGGACAGCUAUCUUGCUAAAUCCCCUCCUUCCCUUCCUCGGACAUUAAGGGUGUCACUUUCUCUUCUUUCUGGGGUAUUUGGCCUGACAACUGCAUAUUCUGGGCAUGAAUGUGCAGCGGAU